CGGCGGACGGGUGAGUAAUGUAUGGGGAUCUGCCUGAUGCGGGGGAUAACUACUGGAAACGGUAGCUAAUACCGCAUAAUGUCUACGGACCAAAGCGGGGGACCUCCGGGCCUCGCGCCAUCAGAUGAACCCAUAUGGGAUUAGCUUGUAGGUAAGGUAACGGCUUACCUAGGCGACGAUCCCUAGCUGGUCUGAGAGGAUGACCAGCCACACUGGAACUGAGACACGGUCCAG
rnacentral:rRNA from 1 species